rnacentral:tRNA from 1 species
GGUCUUAUAGUCAAAUUAUGAUUUUAAAUUGCAAGUUUAAAGGUGAGUUAGCUCUAAGGCUU